rnacentral:miRNA from 1 species
CAGUUAGAUUAGAAUUUCAGACACAGAAUGAAUACAUUUUAGUAUAAGUAUAACUCAUGCAAUAUUUGGGACAUACUUACACUAAAAAUAAUUGUUCAUUUUUUAUUUGUUAGAUCUGA